rnacentral:sRNA from 1 species
CCCAGGGUGGUGCCUGGGCUAUCGUAUGGCGCCCCUUUGGGGCU